GACGAACGCUGGCGGCGUGCCUAAUACAUGCAAGUCGAGCGCAGGAAAUCGACGGAACCCUUCGGGGGGAAGUCGACGGAAUGAGCGGCGGACGGGUGAGUAACACGUAAAGAACCUGCCCUCAGGUCUGGGAUAACCACGAGAAAUCGGGGCUAAUACCGGAUGGGUCAUCGGACCGCAUGGUCCGAGGAUGAAAGGCGCUCCGGCGCCGCCUGGGGAUGGCUUUGCGGUGCAUUAGCUAGUUGGUGGGGUAAUGGCCCACCAAGGCGACGGUGCAUAGCCGACCUGAGAGGGUGAUCGGCCACACUGAGACUGAGACACGGCCCAGACUCCUACGGGAGGCAGCAGUAGGGAAUCUUCCACAAUGGACGAAAGUCGGAUGGAGCAACGCCGCGUGAACGAUGAAGGCCUUCGGGUCGUAAAGUUCUGUUGUAAGGGAAGAACAAGUGCCGCAGGCAAUGGCGGCACCUUGACGGUACCUUGCGAGAAAGCCACGGCUAACUACGUGCCAGCCGCCGCCGUAAAAC
rnacentral:rRNA from 1 species